GACAGAGGCCCCGAGCGUUAGGCGGAAUCACUGGGCUUAAAGCGUGUGUAGGCGGGAGCGUAAGUACCUUGUGAAAUCCCACGGCUCACCCGUGGAACUGCUGGGCAUACUGGGCGUCUUGGGCCAACUAGGGGCAGCCGGAACAAGCGGUGGAGCGGUGAAAUGCGUAGAUAUCGCUUGGAACGCCGAAGGUGAAAACAGGCUGCUGGGGUUGCGCCGACGCUGAGACACGAAAGCCAGGGGAGCAAACGGG
rnacentral:rRNA from 1 species